rnacentral:rRNA from 1 species
AUUGAACGCUGGCGGCAGGCUUAACACAUGCAAGUCGAGCGGUAACAGAGAGAAGCUUGCUUCUCUGCUGACGAGCGGCGGACGGGUGAGUAAUGCCUAGGAAUCUGCCUAGUAGUGGGGGAUAACUUGCCGAAAGGUAAGCUAAUACCGCAUACGUCCUACGGGAGAAAGGAGGGGACCUUCGGGCCUUUCGCUAUUAGAUGAGCCUAGGUCGGAUUAGUUAGUUGGUGAGGUAAUGGCUCACCAAGACCGCGAUCCGUAACUGGUCUGAGAGGAUGAUCAGUCACACUGGAACUGAGAAACGGUCCAGAGUCCUACGGGAGGCAGCAGUGGGGAAUAUUGGACAAUGGGGGGAACCCUGAUCCAGCCAUGCCGCGUGUGUGAAGAAGGUCUUAGGAUUGUAAAGCACUUUAAGUUGGGAGGAAGAGCAGUUAACUAAUAUUUGACUGUUUUGACGUUACCGACAGAAUAAGCACCGGCUAACUUCGUGCCAGCCGCCGCGGUAA